UGCCCGGUAGUGUAACGGCAGCACGACAGGUUCUGGCCCUGUUAGUCGAGGUUCGAAUCCUUGCCGGGCAGCCA
rnacentral:tRNA from 1 species